UUAUGGCUGAACUUUCUCUUCCAGCAUUGUGUAUGGGCAGUUGAGUCCAGUGUGUGCUAUUGUGGGUGGAGUACUGGCCCAGGAGAUCAUCAAGGCUGUGUCACAGAAGGAUCCUCCCCACAACAAUUUCUUCUUCUUCAACACCCAGGAUGGCGCUGGUGUUGUGGAAUGCAUUGGACAUUAACUGUCAGACUGUAACCUUAUAAACAAAAUAAAAAUGAGAUACCAGAUCCAGUGUUUGAUGAAAACAAAGUACAUGAGCUAUGGAAGAAACAAUUUUGUAUAAUCCAAGAGAGUACAGGCAUGUCUAGUUUAACAGGCAUCUCCAAGAAAUGAUGUCAGAAGAUGGCAAACUAGUGAGUAAAUAAUUGACUUACAAGUGUAAUCAGUUGUUAAACCAGAAUGUUUGGUUGCCUCUGAUGUCACUUCUCAUCCAUACCUGUUGAUCAGGCCUGAUUGUCUGGUCAUGCUUAAACUUGUCAUAAAUGUUCUGAGAGUUUGUGUGAAGUGAUUCAAUUGAUUAAUUUUCUUGGUAAUAAUAAAAUAUUUUGUAUUUA